AAAUAGACUUAAUCGCAUAUUUGUUGAUGGAUACCAACACAGGCUGCCAGUGGCCACUGGCCAGGCUGGGAGGAUCAAACGGGUUGUGUGUUCACCGGACUCUAGCUUUUAGUGCGCUGCACAGUUUAGGGAUGAUUAAUUUGGUGAUUUAUGCUUGGUUCUCGAAUGAUUCGAUUUUAUAUGUGGAUUUAUGUAUAAGCAUUAGUUUAUGUUGGAGCACUACCCUUUGCCCCCUUACUCAUGGUUUAUAUUAUCAUGCACUUUUUGGGUGGAUUCGUACAACAAGUCAAAUGAGGCAUCCGACUUAGCAAGUUCAUGCUCUCGUUUUCCUUGAAUUGCAUCUAAGAGCAACUCAAAGUGUUGAUUUACAUCUGUAGUUAUGUUCCCAAUGUUGAGGUUAGUGAUUUUCUUAUAGCGGUGAAUUUAAUCUGGAUGCUAAUGAAAGUCUAGCUAGGACGAAAUCUAUCAUGUUUCUGUCGGGAAAACUUGUGAUCAACGGGUUUACUAAAAUUGACUUUUGGUCUGUAUUAAUGGGCAUUGGCUAUUGUUGUCAUUGGAAUGCGCUUUCUUGUAGUAGUAGGUCAAGAGAACUUUUAUGCAUAACACAAUGCCUUUUAGUUUAUAGAUUCAUAACUGAUAACUGUAAUAAUAUUAUUGAAGAGUAUUUCCUAUUAGAUAACUAAACUUAACAUCACAUCUCUUUAUUUUUGUUUUUCCUUCUGAGAACCUUAGAACCCUGCUUGGAAGACUAUUUAACCCGUCAUUUUUCUGUUUAUUGUUCAAAAUUGCUUCCGUUAACAUGAUCAUGAACACACAGGUUGUAUAUUUAUUCUAAUCGUGUGUACUUGUGACCUCACUUUUUAUGCCUUCUGCUGGCAUGUUGCUAACAAAAUUUCUUGACAUUAUAUAUAUAUAUAUCGCGCUAUUCGUCACCCUGGGUGAGGAAUAGUCAUUCUUCACCCUCUCUAUUUUGACGUCAAUGCACCGUAUUUUUAGGUUCCAUAAAUUUUGGCUUAUUUCAUACGUAAAAAGAGAACGUAAGAAAAUGUAUAAUCCCCGUAAAAAUUUUUUAUGUUACGUAAAAUUACGAAUGCAAAACAUAGUGUAAAGCAUACAUAAAAUGCGAUAUUUCUGGUCUUAUAACGUAUUUUUUUGUUUUCUUAUAUCAAAUUUUACGUAGUGAAUCAAUAUAAAUGUAACUAAUUGUAUUUCAAACGUAAUUUAUUUAUGAAGCGGUCGUAAGAUUACGUCGGGUGAAGAAUAACUUAUUCUGCACCCUGGGUGAUGAAUAGUAUCACUAUAUAUAUCCUUUCUAAGAGGACAUAAAAUGUUUUCCCAAUUUUCCUUCCACCAUUUGGUAAGCCUUUGCGGAAUGGUCUGGGGAGGUUUGCAACAUUGUCUACUCAUCUGAUGGAAAUCUGUUUGUUCUCUAUCAUGUGAUUCGCUUUGGAGCUGAUGCAGAGUUCGCAGGUCCUGCUAUUUGAUCAAUGGAUGCAACCCAUGGGGCAUGGAGAUGAUGGCAAGGCAUCACGCUGUGCUGACAGCGAGGAAAGUAACUUGGAUGAAGGCAGCGGCAACGGGUGGUUGUCAAGGAAAGCGGCGCGGGGAUGGGGAAGGUGGGUGGUGAGGGAUGAUUGGGUGGUGAAUGGCAGCCGAGGAGACGGAGCGGCGGCGAGAUUGGACGAGCUCGCCUUUGGAGUGCGUGUGAGGCAAGAUUUCCUUCCCGGGUUGGCCGAGGGCCUCCUUGUGUAGGUAGAAGCAGUGAACAUGCAGGGUUAAAGCAUUUUCUUUUGCCGAGGGGGAGGGUAGAAAACAGAAAAGAUCAGAGGGGGGGAUUGGGAGGGGGAUUGGGAGGUCUGUGGUGGGAGGGGGUGGAAACCCGAGCAGACUGUCAUGAACUAAAGUUCAUUUGUUUACUGACAUGUUCAUAUUGUUUAUCCUUUUGUUAUUGAAUUUGGAAA